UAUACAUAACUCUUUAUCUCAGAAAACAACGUCCAGCGAGACACAUUAUUCCGGUGGAUUGAUGCAAAAAAAUAAAGGAAAAUAAAACAAGACCAUCGCUGCAGAUAACGUUGAUAACAACGCAAAGUGUUUUACUGCAGGAUGGCUUUCGUGAGCCACCAUCAUCAGUCUCAGUAUUGGAAUUCGGUAGAAUCGGUUAAUUCUACUUUACGGCUGUGCGGUGAUCAGUUAAAUCUGUUUAGUUUUCAACCAGCAGUAACGCUAGAAGUGGUACGGAUAUAGCUGAUUGCUACAUGUGUGACGUACCACGACGAACUUAACCCGGUAAUGCAAUAUAUUCGAGAGAGGCUUUCCUUGAACCUUUCGACAAGUCAACAGACGGAAGUAACAGCUGGCUUAGCAAAUGGAUCUGCUAAUGGACCGGACACCACAUAUACUCCUCCGAAGCCGCCAACUCGCAAAGUCCGAGACGGUCAUAAAUUGUCAGAGGUGAUAGUUUCUCCAACGAUCUCAACUAUAUCAGAAUCCAUCAGUCAGCAUGGCAGCAUGGAAAGUCGUUCCAGAAGUGUGGACGCUUCGGGAUCCACUUAUGUGACACCUUUUCAAAGCCCUGUGGUAUCGGAAAGAUGGUCACCGCACAGUACAGCUGCUGAGAAAUCCCCCACAUCAAUUGAUAAGGUUCACUUUCAAAGUCACAAUCAAUACGUCGGCUACCCCAGUAGAUACUCAACGCCAAUAGCAGGUGGCUACGUGAACCACUCGUUCAUCGAUGCUACCGGAAGUAAUGCUACAGAUUUGAAUCGUACCAGUCAUCAAGCACAGGUUAUCCACGAACACUACUGGACAUGGUCCUGUAGGUGUCGCCGUCAAUUCACAAAUCGAGAAAAGGUGCUUCUUCUAGUCAUAUGCUUCUUGUUGCUAAUUAUUGGAGGGCUAUCGGCUUAUCUUGGUUUAUCCGAUAGUGGGAAUCCAUUACCA